rnacentral:lncRNA from 1 species
UGGAUUCUUGUUCAGUGAUUCAACUAACCCAUUUUCUGUCUUUUCUUCAUUAAUUUAACAUUGUCGGCUAUUGUUAUCGAUGUGUAUAUUGUUGUUAAUAUAUUACACUAUCCUUCAUCUGUUGAUCUCUCUCUCUCUCUCUCUCUCUCUCUCUCUCUCUAUGAGAGCACCUUUCCACAAAGAAAAAGCUGAGCACGAUAUUCUGUUUGGCCAAAUCACCUUCGUCCUAGAAACAGGUUAAGAGAUUGUACUAGUUACAAGAGUGUAACUAUUAACACUUGAGAAAGUAUAAUAAAAUGAUCAAAUAAAAGGAAAUUGGGCCUCAAGUAACCUGACUUCUAAUAUCAAACCACUACAUUAUGAGUGGCUGGCUUAGAUUAGUUAUUUCCUAUGCCUUGAGUGAUAGGACUUCACAACUUACCUAGUGCAAAUAACAUCAAAGGAAUCAGACCAAGUUCAAAACAAAUAGAGAACAAGAUCCGACCAAGUUUAAACACAUUCUUCAUGAAGG